rnacentral:tRNA from 1 species
GUAGCUGUGUCAGAAUUUAUAUGAGUUAGUUUUAAGCAUUAAUUAUGGAAGUUUUCCCGGUUACU